rnacentral:rRNA from 1 species
AACGAACGCUGGCGGCAUGCCUAACACAUGCAAGUCGAACGAGACCUUCGGGUCUUGUGGCGCACGGGUGCGUAACGCGUGGGAACCUGCCCUUAGGUUCGGAAUAACUCUCCGACAGGGGUGCUAAUACCGGAUAAUGUCUUCGGACCAAAGAUUUAUCGCCUUUGGAUGGGCCCGCGUUGGAUUAGCUAGUUGGUAGGGUAAAAGCCUACCAAGGCGACGAUCCAUAGCUGGUCUGAGAGGAUGAUCAGCCACACUGGGACUGAGACACGGCCCAGACUCCUACGGGAGGCAGCAGUGGGGAAUAUUGGACAAUGGGCGAAGGCCUGAUUCAGCAAUGCCGCGUGAGUGAUGAAGGCAUUAGGGUUGUAAAGCUCUUUUACCCGGGAUGAUAAUGACAGUACCGGGAGAAUAAGCUCCGGCUAACUCCGUG